UCCCCUGAUCGUGAACGUCCUCCCGGGCCCCCAGUAAGCUGCUCUGGGGCCCGUGUCUCCUUGAGCCCCGACUCCACCCCCACCGCAGCCAGGCUGGCCACCGAGCGCUGGGCUUGGUGGUCCUGGAGGCCAGGAGACAGGACAGUCACCGUGCAAACCCCCAGCCCUCCGUCUGGAGCCCAGGGCCCGGCUGGGUCAGAGUCACUGAUCCUGUUUUCAGUGGAGGAAACUGAGGCUCAGAGAGUCACCACACGACCUGGCCUGUCACGGGCCGUGACGUCGCCCCGCCAUGGGUUUGAGUCCAGGCCCAUCUGGCCCCAAAGGCUGUCCUUGCACAGGAGCCUGAGGCUCUGAGCCUGGCCUUGGAGGCUGACAUGGAUGCAGGGGGUCCCUCAUAUGCUGGUUGGAGAGCAGCGAGAAGCUGGCGUUGCAGACCCUGAGACCCAGCCCUCAUGUGCCGGAGGCUGCCAAGGGCGUGGGGAGCUGAAGACGAGGGCUGCUGGAGGCCAAGGACCGUGGGGAUGCUGAGGAUGGAACGUCUACUCCUGGCUCCCAAGGAGUGGAGGAUCAGCAGAGCCCAGACCCCGCAGGGCACCCUGUGCCAGCGUUCGGCUCCAGGGGCUUCUAGAAAAUGGGGCGUCUUGGUCCCCUCUGGGUAUGGAGGGAGUGAGGUCGACGGGAUCGGGCCCUGGGUUCACUGCAAUCACGUGCGGCAAGCCACCCCGGA